rnacentral:rRNA from 1 species
UACGUAGGGUGCAAGCGUUGUCCGGAAUUAUUGGGCGUAAAGAGCUCGUAGGCGGUCUGUCGCGUCUGCUGUGAAAACUCAGGGCUUAACCCUGAGCUUGCAGUGGGUACGGGCAGACUAGAGUGCGGUAGGGGAGAAUGGAAUUCCCGGUGUAGCGGUGAAAUGCGCAGAUAUCGGGAAGAACACCCGUGGCGAAGGCGGUUCUCUGGGACGGUACUGACGCUGAGACGCGAAAGCGUGGGGAGCGAACAGG